rnacentral:lncRNA from 1 species
UUAUCCAUAUAUUGUUCAUAUGUGUGUAGAUAUAAGUCCAUAUAUCUAGAUAUAAAAAUCUUACAUUUUUCUUUUGAUCGCAAAAUCACUGUACUAACUGUUAUGUUUAAACUAAGUAAGAGCAAAAAUAAGAAACAGAAAAUGAAUCCGAACACAACCAAAACAAGACAAAAUGUUUUCCUUCUUCUUCCUCAAUCUAACAGUCG